CACGGGGGGAGCAAGCGUUGUUCGGAAUCACUGGGCGUAAAGGGCGCGUAGGCGGCCAUUCAAGUCAGAGGUGAAAGCCCAAGGCUCAACCUUGGAACUGCCUUUGAUACUGUUUGGCUUGAGACCGGUAGAGGUAAGUGGAACUGCGAGUGUAGAGGUGAAAUUCGUAGAUAUUCGCAAGAACACCAGUGGCGAAGGCGGCUUACUGGACCGGUUCUGACGCUGAGGCGCGAAAGCGUGGGGAGCAAACAGG
rnacentral:rRNA from 1 species